rnacentral:lncRNA from 1 species
UACAGCCCUUCCAAUGGUGGUUGUCACCCGGUGUCACGAUGUCACUUGGAAGAGGUGUCACCCCCUGGCUCAAUGGAUGUCACCCGGUGGUGGGUGUCAGUCGCUGGCUCGAUGUCACCUGGCUGCUCGGUGUCACCUGCUGAUGGGUGUCACCCGGUGUCACGAUGUCACCCAGAAGCGGUGUCACCCCAUGGCUCAGUGGAUGUCACCCGGUGGCGGAUGUCAGUCGCUGGCUCGAUGUCACCUGGCUGCUCGAUGUCACCUGCUGAUGGGUGUCACCCGGUGUCACGAUGUCACCCACAGUCAGUUGUCUUCAGCCCUUCCGGUGGUGAAUGUCACCCGGUGGCACGAUGUCACCCGGAAGCGUUGUCACCCCAUGGCUCAAUGA